CCUACGGGAGGCAGCAGUAGGGAAUCUUCCACAAUGGGCGCAAGCCUGAUGGAGCGACACCGCGUGAGUGAAGAAGGUUUUCGGAUCGUAAAGCUCUGUUGUUGGUGAAGAAGGAUAGAGGUAGUAACUGGCCUUUAUUUGACGGUAAUCAACCAGAAAGUCACGGCUACUACGUGCCAGCAGCCGCGGUAAU
rnacentral:rRNA from 1 species